rnacentral:rRNA from 1 species
CAAUAGCGUAUAUUAAAGUUGUUGCAGUUAAAAAGCUCGUAGUUGGAUUUCUGGUGGGAGCGAUCGGUCUGGCGCUUAGCGCGAGGACUUGCAUCGUCUCCGGCCAUCCUUGGGGAGAGUCUGUCUGGCAUUAGGUUGUCGGGCAGAGGAUCCUCAUCGUUUACUGUGAAAAAAUUAGAGUGUUCAAAGCAGGCUUAUGCCGUUGAAUAUAUUAGCAUGGAAUAAUAAGAUAGGACUUUGGUACUAUUUUGUUGGUUUGCGCACCAAAGUAAUGAUUAAUAGGGACAGUUGGGGGUAUUCGUAUUCCGUUGUCAGAGGUGAAAUUCUUGGAUUUACGGAAGACGAACUACUGCGAAAGCAUUUACCAAGGAUGUUUUCAUUAA